rnacentral:rRNA from 1 species
UACGGGGGGAGCAAGCGUUGUUCGGAUUUACUGGGCGUAAAGGGCGGGUAGGCGGCCACCGCAAGUCAGUUGUGAAAUCUCCGGGCUUAACUCGGAAAGGUCAACUGAUACUGCGGGGCUAGAGUGCGGAAGGGGCAACUGGAAUUCUCGGUGUAGCGGUGAAAUGCGUAGAUAUCGAGAGGAACACCUGCGGCGAAGGCGGGUUGCUGGGCCGACACUGACGCUGAUGCGCGAAAGCCAGGGGAGCGAACGGG